rnacentral:SRP_RNA from 1 species
CCCGGGCGCGGUGGCGCUGUGCCUGUAGUCCCAGCUACUCGGGAGGCUGAGGUGGGAGGAUCGCUUGAGCCCAGGAGUUCUGGGCUGUUGUGUGCUAUACCGAUUGGGUGUCCACACUAAGUUCAGCAUCAAUAUGGUGACCUCCUGGCAGCGGGGGACCACCAGGUUGCCUAAGGAGGGGUGAACAGGCCCAAGUCGGAAACGGAGCAGAUCAAAACUCCCGUGCUGAUCAGUAGUGGGAUCACACCUGUGAAUAGUCACUACACUCCAGCCGGGGCAACAUAAGACCCUGUCUCU